rnacentral:rRNA from 1 species
ACGAACGCUGGCGGCGUGCUUAACACAUGCAAGUCGAACGGAAAGGCCCUGCUUUUGUGGGGUGCUCGAGUGGCGAACGGGGGAGUAACCCGUGAGUAACCUGCCCUUGACUUUGGGAUAACUUCAGGAAACUGGGGCUAAUACCGGAUAGGAGCUCCUGCUGCUUGGUGGGGGUUGGAAAGUUUCGGCGGUUGGGGAUGGACUCGCGGCUUAUCAGCUUGUUGGUGGGGUAGGGGCUUACCAAGGCUUUGACGGGUAGCCGGCCUGAGAGGGUGACCGGACACAUUGGGACUGAGAUACGGCCCAGACUCCUACGGGAGGCAGCAGUGGGGAAUAUUGCACAAUGGGCGGAAGCCUGAUGCAGCAACGCCGCGUGCGGGAUGACGGCCUUCGGGUUGUAAACCGCUUUCGCCUGUGACGAAGCGUGAGUGACGGUAAUGGGUAAAGAAGCACCGGCUAACUACGUG